rnacentral:lncRNA from 10 species
CAUUUAGAACUAUGUGAGAAAAUCAGUCAAGGUUUAAGAGAGGAGUUACCAGUUACAGAUAACAAUGUAUUUUUUUCCACUGACCUAAGCCUUUCAAGCAAAAUCAGAAAACUGUAAUUUUCACUAAAAUAAAUCAUCAAUGGAAUGACCUAGUUUAAGACCCUUUUGGAAGACAGAUAGAGUCCUAGAAAUCUCUACUACAUCAAAACAAAUCAGAGGGAUAGGCAAACAUGCCAAUAUAACUGAAUAAAGAGCCCAGAAAGAAACCCCUUCAAACAUGGCAUCUUUAUAUAUGACAAUCAAUGGCAAAGAGUGCAUAUUUCAGUAAUUGAUACUAGAACAAUUACUACCUAUAUGGAGAAAAAUUAGAUUCCUACCUCAGAUGUAGGAAAGAAGUCCAAGUUUUAUGAAGCCAAAAACUUAUAAUUUGGGGAUUCCUAAGGAAAUUCCAAAAUAAAUUAACUUUUGAAAAUUUUGUAAAAACACAACCCAUGUGAACAUUACUUGGGCUUCUCCCAGAGCCUUGAAAAGAGCUUAUACAAGUGAUGGUAGAGUAAAUCUACCUCUGUUCACAACGAACACAAAAAUAAACUCAAAAUGGAUUAAAAAUUCAAUAUUUUUUUUAAUUUUUAGAGAAAUUAUAGGACAAAAAUUGUUAUGCCUCAGAGAGGAAGGAAUUCUUAAAUAAGGUAAGGCACAAAGACAUAAAAAGGACAAUGAGGGUCAUGCAUAUUAUACACUCAAAAACGUUCAGAUUUUGAAGCAUUUUUGGUUUGGGGAUUAGGAUGUUCAACCUGUAUUAGUAAAACAGUGGAAACAAUUGAAAUGUCAGUAGGACAGUAGUUAACUAUCAUAUUCAUACAAUAGAAUAUUACAUAGUAGUGAAAAUGAAUGUUAUGACUUUCAAAUAUUUUACCUACAGUGAGAAAUAUAUUUCAUACCAUGACUCAAUAUAUAUAUGCUUAUAUAUAAUCACAUACAUAUAUGUAUAUAGGCAUUAAAUUGAGUACUUAUGAUACAUUUUAUUUACUGUUCUGUUUUUUCUAAAGCAGUUCAUGACCUGCUAUAUUGAUUUUCUGUGCUACUAAUGAUUUGAAACCUACAGUUUGAAAAAAAAAAAAAACUAAACAAAGUUAUAUAUUUAUCAACAUGAAUAAAUCUGAAUAACAAGUAUAGCAUAUUAUAUAGUGUGUGUAUAUAUAUGUAUAUAUACACAUACAUACAUAUACAUGUAUAUGGUAUUCAAGAAAUGCUAUAUAUUGUGAUACCUAUAUUUAUAUAAAGGAAUAAUUUUUAAAACUUAUGAGAAAGGUAAAUACCAAAUUCAGGAUAGUAUUAUUACCUCUGAAGAAGAAGACAUGGAAAAUAAAACGGGAAGGGAAUACUGGGUAUUUCAACUGUAUCUGUAAUGUUUUCCUUAUUUUACAAAAGGAAAAAUGUUAAUAUUUGAUAGGUGUUGAGUACAUGGGUGUUAUUCAUAUUUUUUUCAAAAUACUUGAUUAUUAAAAUUAACUAGAAUAAUAUUUCUUAAUUUUAUAUCACACUUUGAAAAAAAAUCAUCUCACGGUAUUUUAUUAUCUUAAUUAUCUGUAGCAAAUUUUAAAGGAACGUUGCUGGGUGCAGUGGCUCACACCUGUAAUCUCAGCACUUUGGGAGGCCAAGGCAGGAGGAUCACUUGAGGCCAGGAGUUGGAGACCAGCCUGGGCAACAUAGUGAGACCCCAUCUCUUUAAAAAAAAAAUGUGUGUGUGUGUGUGUGUGUGUGUAUUUUAUUUUUUUAAUUGGCCAGGUAUGAUGGUGUACACCUAUACUCCCAGCUACUUGGGAGACUGAGGUGAGAUGAUCACUUAAGGCCAGAAGAUCAAGGCUGCAGUGAGCUAUGAUUGUUCCACUGCUUUCUAGACAGGGUGACAGAGCAAGACUCUGACUCUAAAAAAAUAAAUAAGGUAAAAUAAAAAUAAGAAGCCCAGCACAGUGGUUUAUGCCAGUAAUCAUUCCCAACAUUUCAGGAGGCCAAGCAGGAGGAUCACUUGAGCUGAGGAGUUCAAGACUGGCCUGGGCAAGACAGUAAGACCAUCUCUACAAAAAAUAAACAAAAAAUUAGCCGGGCAUGGUGGUGCAUGCUUGUAGUUCCAGCUGCUUGGGAGGCUGAGGUGGGAGGAUUGCUUGAGCCUGGAAGGUCAUGGCUGUAGUGAGCCGAGAUCGCACCACUGCACUCCAGCCUGGGUAACACAGUGAGACCCUCUCUCAAAAUAAAUACAGUCAGGCAUAGUGGCUCAUGUCUGUAAUUCCAGCACUUUGGGAGACCAAGGCAGGCAGAUCAUUUGAGGCCAGGAGUUUGAGACCAGCCAGGCCAACAUGGUGUAACCCCAUCUCUACUGAAAAUACAAAAAAAUUAGCUGGUCGUGGUGGCACAUGCCUGUAGUCCCAGCUACUCAGGAGGCUGAGGCAGGAGAAUCACUUCAACCGGGGAGGUGGAGGUUGCAGUGAGCCGAGAUCAUGCCACUGCAUUCCAGCUUGGGCAACAGAGCAAGACUCCGUAUAAAAACAUAAAUAAAUUAAAAUGUUUUAAAAAGUUGUGGUCAAUCUUUAGGGUUAUCUUAAGUAUCUUUUUUUUUUUUUUCAAGACAGGGUCUGACUCUGCCGCCCAGACUAGGGUAUGGUAGUACAAUCAUGUAGCUAACUAUAAACUCAAUUUCCUAGGCUCACGUGAUCCUCCCGCCUCAGCCUCCUGAGUAAUUAGGACUACAGGUGUGCAUUACCACACCUGGCUAAUUUUAAAUGUGUGUGUGUAUGUAUAUAUAUACACAUAUAAGUGUGUGUGUGUGUGUAUAUAUAUACACGUGUGUGUGUGUAUAUAUAUAUGCAUGUAUGUAUGUGUGUGUGUGUGUGUAUAUAUAUAUAUGUAUGUAUAUGAAAUGGGGUCUCACUAUAUUGCCCAGGCUAGCCUUGAACUCUUGGCCUCAAGUGAUUCUCCAGCCUUGGCCUCCUAAGGUACUAGGAGGCAUGAGCCACCACAACUGGCC